rnacentral:rRNA from 1 species
GGGACGAACGCUGGCGGCGUGCUUAACACAUGCAAGUCGAGCGAGGCCCUUCCUUCGGGAAGGUGCCCUAGCGGCGAACGGGUGAGUAACACGUGAGUAACCUGCCCCUAGCUCCGGGAUAGCUCCGGGAAACCGGAAUUAAUACCGGAUGUGAUCACGGCCGACAUCGGCCACGAUGGAAAGAUUUAUCGGCUAGGGAUGGGCUCGCGGCCUAUCAGCUUGUUGGUGAGGUAACGGCUCACCAAGGCGACGACGGGUA